CGUGAUCUACCCUGUAGAUCCGGGUUUUUGUGAAUUUUUCCAAGAAUCAGAAGCUCGUCUCUACAGGUAUCUUACGG
rfam:Asian citrus Psyllid, Diaphorina citri - Florida Strain, whole genome shotgun sequence.